CACAAUUAUGUAUACACAUGCACACCUCAGAAAGGAAGGAAAGCAGAAGUGCUAAGAAUGCAAUGUAAUGACCAAUGUGAAAGGAACAGAAAAUGAUGAGAUACAGUUGCCUUAUCUUAUGGAUUCUGUACCUGAAUAUACAAAAG